rnacentral:rRNA from 1 species
GACGAACGCUGGCGGCGUGCCUUAUACAUGCAAGUAGGACGCAGUUGCGAACGGGUGAGUAACGCGUAUGUAACUACCUAUUAGAGGGGGAUAACUAUUGGAAACGAUAGCUAAUACCGCAUACUAGUAGAUGGACCUGCGUUGUAUUUGCUAGUAGGUAGGGUAAUAGCCUACCUAGGCAACGAUACAGAGCCGAGCUUGGAGGGUGAUCGGCCACAAUGGGACUGGUAAACGGCCCAGAAUCCUACGGGAGGGAGCAGUAGGGAAUCUUAGGCAAUGGGGGGAAACCUGACCGAGCAACGCCGCGGGAGUGAAGAAGGUGUUCGGAUCGUAAAGCUAUGUUGGUAAGGAAGCGGUACUUAACCAGAAAGGGACGGCUAACUACGUGCCAGCAGCCGCGGUAAUUC